UUCAAAAUCGACCCGAAACCAGCCACUCCAAUGACCCGACAUUCUAACUCGACUUUCUCCCUCUGCGACGUGUGCUUUCCCACACGAACUUGUACGAGAAUCUUCUAGAAAAAGCUAGGUGGCAGCCAUCAACGUUCCAAAGAUUUAGCUGUCAAGAAUCUGUUCCUAGUCGUUAGAAUUGUACCUUGAAGGUAUAUACGUGCUCAAUUUUAAUUGGUUUAAAAGAAUCCAUUUCUCCCCCCAAUGUGAGAAAUUCAAAUUUUCUUGCAAAAUACAAAAUUAGGGGGAAAUGGAAGAGAAUUUUUUGUUCCUAUCCAAAUUUUGAAAAAAAAAAUAAAUCUUAGUUUGAAAAUCUUAAUUUUACCCUUUAAUUUUCCUUGAUCCCCACAUCAUCCAAACCGGAAGGAGGACCCUCAAUUGUCUACUAUAAAAAGAAGCUCACUGUGGAGCCGUGAAAAGAAGAAGGGAGAAAUUUCUUUUGAGGAGGGGGGAAGCAAAAAUGAGAGAAAAGGGUUGGGAAAAUCUUCUUUUUUGGAAAGCAAAAACCCAAAAAAAAAAGAGAGAAAAAGGGGUAUUUCGAGAAAAAGGAACUUUCUUUAGCAGAAAUUUUAGAGAACGUAGUCGGCGAGUCGAGAUUUUCGCAAAUACAUUGAACUUUUCGGUGGUGAUAGAGUCCAGUGAUAGCCCGAAUCCCGUUUUGCUGCUCCAAAAUGGGUAAUUCCUUGUUCCCUUUAGUUACGAUAUUUUCUUUUCAUCGAUAUGUUAGUGUCUUAGCUUUAUGAUUCUGUCGUUAGUUGUAAUAUACUGGGAUUGCUUUCUAUAGACGACUUUAAAAGACAAAAAAAUUUUUUAGGUUGACAUUGAUAAUCAUUGUGUUGUGCUUAUGUUGAUAUACUGAUUUGCUUCUGUUUAGCUUCUGUAAAAUCAAUCUACCUUCAUAUUAUCGGUUGAUUUUCAAAAUCAUUGUUUGUAAAUGUUGUUUAAUGUAGCCGGGUUACUGCUUUCUUGUUUGAUGUUUUGAGGUUUUACUCUUUCACUGCUAUGUUUUUUUUUUUGAAUUUGUUGUCUUUCUAGUUCAAAGUUCCUUGACUUUCGCUGUUUUCUCGUUGAUAGGCUCAAGAUUUGAUUUGUUAUUUUCAGAUAAAUAUGUUAUUCCCAGAUUAAGAUUUCUAAUUUCAAAUAUUCAUCAUCGUGUUUUCGACUAGCCACGUUCAUGAGAUGUUUAAUUCUCUGUUCGGAUUAGUACCAAUUGUUACAGUCUAGGAUUCGAAUUCAAUUUGACAUCUUUUGGGUUUUGAUUCCUAAUUCAUCCUUUUAUGUUAGAAAGGAAAUUUAUCUGCUUUAGUUCGAGGUGAUCUUAAUAUUUUGUUUUGUUGGAAUUCUAAAAUAUGGUUCUUUCGGCUUGUUAUUUCUAGUUUUAGCCUAGGACCUACUACUUUAACUUUACAAAUCUUAUUUUGAUCCGUCAUUGUUUCUCUUUGAUUUUGAUUUAAUACCUAGUCUAUUAUUCCAACACCUAAAUGUUGUUUUUCUUUUUGUUAAAUAGGAUUACUCCUAAAAAAAACGUAAUGUUCUGGUGUAAAAGCCUAGAUCCUGCUCUCUGUUUUUUUUUAUUUGGUUCAAUUUUUUUUUUCUAUGAAGUAUUGAGUUUAAAUUUGAAGUUGUCGUUAAAGUCCAUAGAUAUUUCAAGGUUUACAGUAAGACAAUUUCGAUGCCUCCAACUAAAGUUCUCAACUGGGACAUCUUUUAUGUCUGUUGAUCGUGUUGCAUGCUGCUCUGCGUAAAUAAAAAAAAAAACAGACUUCAUUUGAUGUCAUGAAUUUCUUUUCCCAUUUGCCUAUCAUAAUUUGUUUAUUUAUCAAAAUCCUCCUUCCUUAUUUUCUCUAUUUUAUGAGUGUAUUAAUUCCUUUCUUUUUUUUCUUUUUACUAUGUUGCCUGUGUAUUGGGGUCCAUUCGGACCCUCCAAGCCUAUCUCUGCACUUCUAGUGAAAUUCAUCUCGAUAAAGUCAUUGUCAAAUUGAUCUCGAAAUGAAAUUCUCGAUGGUGUACAAGGUGGAAGCAAAGGGAAUGGGUCAAAAACCUAUUUGAUGAAGUAAUUAUGAGACUUGAAAGUCUCUUUUUAUUUCUUAUUGUUGUCUUUUUAUUAUUAUUAUUAUUUAUUUAUUCGUCUAUCCAUUUCAUUAUUCAUUCAUUUGAGCCUCGAAGUCAAAGUUGUAAAUUCAAUAUAGGUGAAGAGAUUUUGGGCCAAAAAGGCUCGAAAACAUAGAUUAGGACAGGUGAAAAAUGGGCCGAAAGCCCAAUUAAAUUAGGAUAUAUUUCGUUGAUUUGGGCUCAAUGUCCUAAGACUUUUACUUCCCCCUUCCUUUUCCUUUUUAUGUGCUUAUUUAUUUUUCAUUUGCUUAGACUUGGUUAAAUCCCUACUAAGUCGUCCAAAUCUAUUUUACACAAAUCUUUUCCUAAAAUCAAUCACUUUUCAACAAUCAAUCUUAUUGAAGUUGGUCAAAAGAUAUUUUCAAACAGUCCAGAUAACCGCAAGUUAAUGGACGUUUUAGGUGUCUUAAAACCUUUCUAACACGUUAAUAGGAACCGCUUACUCUGAAUCUUCAAAUUUAAACAAUUUUUCUGUUUUGGAUCAUUUAAAGUAUCUUAUAAAGGUUUCUUAAUUCCUUUUCAAAAUUAAGUGGCGACUCUUCAAAAGUCAAAAUUUCAGCAAAAUAGAAAUGACGACUCUGCUGGGGAAUUUAACUAGGUUCUAACUAAAUGUUUGAUUUCAUCUUUUGACUAACUGUCUAAAUUGCUUACGUGUUUAUAUGUUUCGAUUUUGAGGUAUUUAAUUAUUGUAUCUCAUAGCAUAAUCCAGCAUUGAUUUGUUAAAUUCUUUUAGGAUUUUGUGGAUGUCCCAGCCCCUAUUCAACUCCAAAUAAAGUGUUGGAAAUACGAUGAUUCAUUAGCACGUGAGUCGUCUGAUGGCCAUUCGUAUUUUCAAACCCAAGUCGUCCGCUUGGGAACCUGGUUCAAACCCACUCUAGACACCUAGGAUAAAGCGAAAUCAAAACCCUAUUUUAGGCACGAGCCUGGGAUGACCUAAUACCUGAGGAGGUAUUAGGCUCAUUAGAAAACUUGCCCUGCAUCUAUUGACCUCAAGGUAAUUACAGAUGCAUCAUAUUUAUGUGUUGAAGAAAUAUAUAUUUGUUUAAUCCAAUCCAUUAUCCUUUGGGGAGUCAGGAGAAGGCUUGCUUUGCUUACUUUCGUGCAAGGAUGCCUCAAUCAUACACCAAUUGAGGAAGGAAUUGGUGCAAGUCAAGAAAGAAAUUGAUAAAAUUGGACGGUUGCAUCUAGAGCACAGAUAUAUGGGAAUCGCUUAAUCAUCAAUGGAUGUCGCCAAUGGAAAGAAGUGGACAAAUCUAAGAGGGCGGAGACCGAUAGAAGAGCAUUCAGGAACUAGUAUUUCCUAUCCUCUGCGCGGGACAUUGUUCUUUUUCUCAUGUUAUCUUUUUCCCUUUCCCUAAAGAUUGUAUACAUUUUGUGUAAUUUUGUUGGCAAUUAUGUCAUUUAUGUAUACCUAUGAAGGUUUUGGGGGAUAAUGGAUUGGCUUUAAAAAGGUGUAUAUUUUUUUCAAAAUUCAUUAGGCCUAAACCCUUG
rnacentral:lncRNA from 1 species